rnacentral:rRNA from 1 species
AUAACUCCGGGAAACCGGAGCUAAUACCGGAUAGUUCCUUGAACCGCAUGGUUCAAGGAUGAAAGACGGUUUCGGCUGUCACUUACAGAUGGACCCGCGGCGCAUUAGCUAGUUGGUGAGGUAACGGCUCACCAAGGCGACGAUGCGUAGCCGACCUGAGAGGGUGAUCGGCCACACUGGGACUGAGACACGGCCCAGACUCCUACGGGAGGCAGCAGUAGGGAAUCUUCCGCAAUGGACGAAAGUCUGACGGAGCAACGCCGCGUGAGUGAUGAAGGUUUUCGGAUCGUAAAGCUCUGUUGUUAGGGAAGAACAAGUGCAAGAGUAACUGCUUGCACCUUGACGGUACCUAACCAGAAAGCCACGGCUAACUACGUGCCAGCAGCCGCGGUAAUACGUAGGUGGCAAGCGUUGUCCGGAAUUAUUGGGCGUAAAGGGCUCGCAGGCGGUUUCUUAAGUCUGAUGUGAAAGCCCCCGGCUCAACCGGGGAGGGUCAUUGGAAACUGGGAAACUUGAGUGCAGAAGAGGAGAGUGGAAUUCCACGUGUAGCGGUGAAAUGCGUAGAGAUGUGGAGGAACACCAGUGGCGAAGGCGACUCUCUGGUCUGUAACUGACGCUGAGGAGCGAAAGCGUGGGGAGCGAACAGGAUUAGAUACCCUGGUAGUCCACGCCGUAACGAUGAGUGCUAAGUGUUAGGGGGUUUCCGCCCCUUAGUGCUGCAGCUAACGCAUUAAGCACUCCGCCUG